GAUGAACGCUGGCGGCGUGCCUAAUACAUGCAAGUCGAGCGAACACACGAUGAGCUUGCGCUUUUACGGUUGGCGAGGGACGGGUGGGUAAGGCGUAGGUAACCAUCUACUAUUUCGGGGGGGAUUUCGGAAAGCCGCUUCCACUACUGCCGAAUAUUUCGAACGGCUUGAUUCAUGGGUUAAUAAGACCUUGCCCAAUACUAUGAGACGAUGUCGGAUUAGCUAGUUGGCAAGGUAAGGGCUCACCAAGGCAACGAUCCGUAGCUGACCUGAGAGGAUGAUCAGCCACACUGGAACUGAGACACGGUCCAGACUCCUACGGGAGGCAGCAGUAGGGAAUCUUGCGCAAUGGGCGAAAGCCUGACGGAGCCACGCCGCGUGAGUGAUGAAGGUCUUCGGAUCGUAAAACUCUGUUAUUAGGGAAGAAAAGACGUGUAAGUAACUGUGCACGUUUUGACGGUACCUAAUCAGAAAGCAACGGCUAACUACGUG
rnacentral:rRNA from 1 species